ACUCCUACGGGAGGCAGCAGUGGGGAAUAUUGCACAAUGGGGGAAACCCUGAUGCAGCCAUGCCGCGUGUGUGAAGAAGGCCUUCGGGUUGUAAAGCACUUUCAGUAGGGAGGAAGGUAGUGUAGUUAACACCUGCACUAUUUGACGUUACCUACAGAAGAAGCACCGGCUAACUCCGUGCCAGCAGCCGCGGUAAUACGGAGGGUGCGAGCGUUAAUCGGAAUUACUGGGCGUAAAGCGCAUGCAGGCGGCCUGUUAAGUCAGAUGUGAAAGCCCGGGGUCUUAACCUCGGAAUUGCAUUUGAAACUGGCAGGCUAGAGUCUUGUAGAGGGGUUAGAAUUUCAGGUGUAGCGGUGAAAUGCGUAGAGAUCUGAAGGAAUCC
rnacentral:rRNA from 1 species